rnacentral:misc_RNA from 1 species
UCCGGUUUGUCACCGGCAGUCUCCUUAGAGUUCCCGCCAUUACGCGCUGGCAACUAAGGACAAGGGUUGCGCUCGUUACGGGACUUAACCCAACACCUCACGGCACGAGCUGACGACAACCAUGCACCACCUGUGUACGGCCCCGAAGGACACCAUAUCUCUAUGGCUUUUCCGUACAUGUCAAGCCUUGGUAAGGUUCUUCGCGUUGCGUCGAAUUAAACCACAUGCUCCGCCGCUUGUGCGGGCCCCCGUCAAUUCCUUUGAGUUUUAGCCUUGCGGCCGUACUCCCCAGGCGGGGUGCUUAAUGCGUUAGCUUCGGCACGGACGGGGUUGAUAUCCGCCCACACCUAGCACCCAACGUUUACGGCUAGGACUAC